rnacentral:miRNA from 14 species
ACUGCACCAUAAGCACUUCCUGC